UACGGGGGGUGCGAGCGUUGUCCGGAUUCACUGGGCGUAAAGGGCGCGUAGGCGGCCCGAUCAGUCGGACCUUUAAGAGCGGGGCUCCCCCGUGGUGGGUUCGGGACGGUCGGGCUGGGGCGCGGCAGAGGGGGACGGAAUGCCGGGUGUAGUGGUGAAAUGCGUAGAGAUCCGGCGGAACACCGGUGGUGAAGACGGUCCCCUGGGCCGAGGCCGACGCUGAGGCGCGAGAGCGCGGGGAGCGAACCGG
rnacentral:rRNA from 1 species